rnacentral:tRNA from 1 species
GAGGUCUUAGCUUAAUUAAAGUGUCUGGGUUGCAUUCAGGAGUUGUAUAUUAAACUUAUACAGGCCUU